rnacentral:tRNA from 1 species
GCCUGGCUGGCUCAGUCGGUAGAGCAUGAGACUCUUGAUCCCAGGGUUGUAAGUUUGAGCCUCAUGUUGGGUG